rnacentral:rRNA from 1 species
AUUGAACGCUGGCGGCAGGCCUAACACAUGCAAGUCGAACGAGUGGCGGACGGGUGAGUAAUGUCUGGGAAACUGCUUGAUGGAGGGGGAUAACUACUGGAAACGGUAGCUAAUAACGCAUACCAUCGGAUGUGCCCAGAUGGGAUGAGCUAGUAGGUGGGGUAACGGCUCACCCAGGCGACGAUGCCUUGCUGGUCUGAGAGGAUGACCAGCCACACUGGAACGGUGACACGGUCCAGACGCCGACGGGAGGCAGCAGUGGGGAAUAUUGCACAAUGGGAGCAAGCCUGAUGCAGCCAUGCCGCGUGUAUGAAGAAGGCCGUCGGGUUGUAAAGUACUUUCAGCGGGGAGGCGUUACCCGCAGAAGAAGCACCGGCUAACUCCGUGCCAGCAGCCGCGGUAAUAC